GAAAGACAGUAAUGACUUGGUUGUGAACACCCGGAGCACAAUACAUUAAUGCUGACACAGAAAGGCAGUAAAGACUUGGCAGUGAACACAGAGCACAAUACAUCCAUGCUGACACAGAAAGGCAGUAAUGGCUUUGCUGUGAACUCAGAGCACGAUACAUCCAUGCUGACACAGAAAGGCAGUAAUGACUUGGAUGUAAACACCCAGAGCACAAUACAUCCAUGCUGACACAGAAAGGCAGUAAUGACUUGGAUGUAAACACCCAGAGCACAAUACAUCCAUGCUGACACAGAAAGGCAGUAAAGACUUGGUUCCUAUCAAUAUCUCCUCCCAUAUUGAGUACAUCAAUACUUCCAACAGCAGAGCCUUGGUGAGUUUGACUUCCGUCUCAGCAUCGAUGUUGCUUAGCAACAAUUGGAUGGUGGGCGUCGACAAAUUAGGCCGGAUAAGUCGCUCUAACUGAAACGAUCUGAUCCAACAGGUAGAGCAGGCGUUGCGUGACACGUCCGUUAAUGUGACUGACCUCGAUAUGUUGUUCUCGAAUAAUGUGAACCUUAGGCCUGGAGAGCAGUAUGUGUUUGAUGCCAUUCAACAACAGUUAUUGUCGGCAGUUCUUCGGUUUGGGGUGGCAACUUCGGCGUCGGGACUCGCUCCAUCUCUGUCUAUGGCCAAGUCGCAGCAGCAGCAGCAGCAGCAACAAUAACAAUAAGUAGUAUCUUAGCUGUGUUCUGGGAUAUGGGGCUUCAUGUAUGUGCUUAAAUUGUCAUCCCAGAUUAGCCUGUGCAGACUGCACCUACAUUAAGUCCUAUUAAAUUGUCAUCCCAGAUUAGCCUGUGCAGACUGCACAUACAUUAAGUCCUAUUAAAGUGUCAUCCCAUAUUAGCCUGUGCAGACUGCACAUACAUUAAUUCCUAGCCUGUGCAGACUGCACAUACAUUAAGUCCUAUCAAAGUGUCAUCUCAGAUUAGCCUGUGAAGACUGCACAUACAUUAAGUCCUAUCAAAGUGUCAUCCCAGAUUAGCAUGUGCAGAUUUCACAUACAUUAAGUCCUAUCAAAGUGUCAUCCCAGAUUAGCCUGUGCAGACUGCACAUACAUUAAGCCCUAUUUUCCAGAAUGAAGCUCAUAUAGUUCACUUAACAUCAGUCCUUUUAUGUGCCUGAUUAAGAAAAAGGUCCAAGCAUCAAAUGGUAAGUAGGUGUUUUUAAAAUUAAUCAACUUGAUAAAUAAAUAGCAAAUAGCAAUCGAUCAGUUUUAAUCAUAGAAGGUCAAGGCAUAGUUUUGUCUACGUUUCGGUUGAAAUUCAGCCCUUGAACGAAGCAUUUAUCCUUGCAUAUAAAAUCCGCUGUAAUAGACUUGUUAAAUGUUAUUUAAUUUUAGCAAAACAAUUAUUUAAAUUACUUCAGCACAUUAUACAAUUAUUCCCUUUAAUAUUUAUUUAAGUUCCUGAAUUUUGUUUUAAGAGCCGGUUCCUACAGGAUCCCAUGCAGUCAUAGAUCGGUACCCAGCUGAACAACAGGCUGUCUGGUAAGCUGGGCCCGGAUAGGUGCAGCCAGUCUAAAGCUGGGGCGCCAAACUUGCCUGCCAAGUGGGCUGAUAUUACCUCUUCUACAAGGGACAUAUAUCAGUGAUGCGCAAUGAGCUGUUCACAGAGAAAUAUUCUAACAACUCCAACUCAGCCACUACAUCUCAAUAGACAACUCGAAUAUCAAGGCGUUAAGUUUCUUCUGGAUGCAGUUACAGUCACAGCUUUCAAGCCAGCAGCUGUCGAUGUAUUGAGAUUCUCUCCUCUCCAUGUUAUCUGACCUGCUGCCUGUGAACAUCCUGCACAUAGAACCUUUAUCCCAAUCGAUGUUAUUAAACCGGCCAAUCAAAAAGAUAACCUGGUACAGCACUUGUCAUUGAAUUGACGCCAUGCGUGCCUUUGAAGAUCAUUUAUUCAUACAAUUUAAGCAUGAUAGUCAAUAAGUGCCUGAGUUGGCUUCUUAAAAGACUUGCAGUCCUGAGCAUUUACGAUGGAAUUCCUCAUCUUGAAAUAUUGGGAAGGCAGGAAAACACCUGACAAUAUUUAACUUAUUUAUUGUAUAAACAAGACAUGCUUAUUUUUAGUUUUUACCUAUAAAAUGGCAAUAUGUGCUAGGUGAAAUAAUUUAUCAGAACGGUUCAUAAUUGUGAUGCUUCUAUUUUGAUAUGUCUGUCAUUCUGUCUGUGUACAUUUCUCAUCAGUUUGCUCUUUUGAGGCAGUAUUUUGUCAAGAAUUUCAUGUAGUGAUGUAAUAGUAAAAUAUCAAAUAAUAAUUUGAUUUAUUCAAACUAUAUUAACCUUCUGUUAAUUAUAAAUUUAUUUAUUGACAACAGAUACUUUGUUUAAUAUUAACAAUAGUUAAGCGCGUUAUAAAAAUUGUGUGAAUGUACAUGCAUAAUAUUGCUAAAAUUAAUGCACACAUUAAUGGAAAAACUAUUUAAAUAAAGUGGAAUUUAGAAGUGCAUCUUAAUUGUAAUGGAGUUUGUUUAAUCAUUAAAAAAGUAUGCUUUCAUUGUUGAAAAUAUGAUAGUAAUUCCUCCACAAGUAAUUUUGUUCCAAAGUGAGUAUUUUCAUGAAUAAUGAUCCUAGAUAUGG